rnacentral:rRNA from 1 species
CGGGGCUUAAAGUCUUGUAAUUGGAAUGAUGGGAAUUUAAACCUCUUCCAGAGUAUCAAUUGGAGGGCAAGUCUGGUGCCAGCAGCCGCGGUAAUUCCAGCUCCAAUAGCGUAUAUUAAAAUUGUUGCAGUUAAAAAGCUCGUAGUUGAAUUUCUGCUGCAUUGCUUGUGUCCCUCUGGGGUCUGUGCAUGUGGCUUUUUUCGGACGGAGUUUCUUUGUCUGAAUGUUUACUUUGAGAAAAUUAGAGUGCUCAAAGCAGGCUUUCGCCUUGAAUAGUUUAGCAUGGAAUAAUAAAGUAGGACUUUGGUUCUAUUUUGUUGGUUUUAGGUGCCAAAGUAAUGGUUAAUAGGAACAGUUGGGGGCAUUCGUAUUUAACUGUCAGAGGUGAAAUUCUUAGAUUUGUUAAAGACGAACUACUGCGAAAGCAUUUGCCAAGGAUGUUUUCAUUAAUCAAGAAC